UAGGGAAUCUUCGGCAAUGGACGAAAGUCUGACCGAGCAACGCCGCGUGAGUGAAGAAGGUUUUCGGAUCGUAAAACUCUGUUGUUAGAGAAGAACAAGGACGUUAGUAACUGAACGUCCCCUGACGGUAUCUAACCAGAAAGCCACGGCUAACUACGUGCCAGCAGCCGCGGUAAUACGUAGGUGGCAAGCGUUGUCCGGAUUUAUUGGGCGUAAAGCGAGCGCAGGCGGUUGCUUAAGUCUGAUGUGAAAGCCCCCGGCUCAACCGGGGAGGGUCAUUGGAAACUGGGAGACUUGAGUGCAGAAGAGGAGAGUGGAAUUCCAUGUGUAGCGGUGAAAUGCGUAGAUGUAUGGAGGAACACCAGUGGCGAAGGCGGCUCUCUGGUCUGUAACUGACGCUGAGGCUCGAAAGCGUGGGGAGCAAACAGG
rnacentral:rRNA from 1 species